rnacentral:tRNA from 1 species
GCCGAAGUGGCGAAAUUGGCAGACGCAAGGGACUUAAAAUCCCUCGCUCCGUGAGGGGCGUGCCGGUUCGAUUCCGGCCUUCGGCACCA